rnacentral:rRNA from 1 species
AACCUGCCCAAGAGACUGGGAUAACACCUGGAAACAGAUGCUAAUACCGGAUAACAACACUAGACGCAUGUCUAGAGUUUAAAAGAUGGUUCUGCUAUCACUCUUGGAUGGACCUGCGGUGCAUUAGCUAGUUGGUAAGGCAACGGCUUACCAAGGCAAUGAUGCAUAGCCGAGUUGAGAGACUGAUCGGCCACAUUGGGACUGAGACACGGCCCAAACUCCUACGGGAGGCAGCAGAA